ACUGUCUGAAAAUAGUCUUUGGCUUCCUUCAUGGCCUUGGAUGAGAUAACUGUGCCCAUAGCAAGAGGGAGCAUUAAGCUUAUUGCCUUAAGUAUGGUCCUUAGGUGAUAAAACCCAGGCUCCUAUAUCU